rnacentral:rRNA from 1 species
AAGACGAUUAGAUACCGUGUAGUCUCAACCAUAAACGAUGCCGACUCGGGAUUGGCGGGUGUUUAUUCGAUGACUCCGCCAGCACCGUAUGAGAAAUCAAAGUUUUUGGGUUCCGGGGGGAGUAUGGUCGCAAGGCUGAAACUUAAAGGAAUUGACGGAAGGGCACCACCAGGCGUGGAGCNUGCGGCUCAAUUUGACUCAACACGGGAAAACUUACCAGGUCCAGACGUAGGAAGGAUUGACAGAUUGAUAGCUCUUUCUUGAUUCUUAUGGGUGGUGGUGCAUGGCCGUUCUUAGUUGGUGGGUUGCCUUGUCAGGUUGAUUCCGGUAACGAACGAGACCUCAGCCUGCUAAAUAGUCACGGCUGCAUCCGCAGCUGGCAAACUUCUUAGAGGGACUGUUGGCGACUAGCCAACGGAAGUAUGAGGCAAUAACAGGUCUGUGAUGCCCUUAGAUGUUCUGGGCCGCACGCGCGCUACACUGAUACGUUCAACAAGUUCCUUGGCUCGAAAGGUCUGGGUAAUCUUUGAAACCGUAUCGUGAUGGGGAUAGAACAUUGCAACUAUUGUUCUUCAACGAGGAAUGCCUAGUAAUCGCGAGUCAUCAUCUCGCGUUGAUUACGUCCCUGCCCUUUGUACACACCGCCCGUCGCUCCUACCGAUUGGAUGUGCUGGUGAAGACUUCGGAUCGGCCACGCUAACUAGGUCUUCCUAGUUGUGGGGUUGAGAAGUUGUUUAAACCCUCCCAUUUAGAGGAAGGAGAAGUCGUAACAAGGUUUCCGUAGGUGAACCUGCAGAAGGAUCA